UGCUUUUUAUCACAUAUUUUUCCAGUAUCUGAAAUAUUGACAAACCAAUUGUUAAGUUUUAUUAGUAGAUUUCCUAAUAUUAUUCUUGUUCUCCUGAACUAAUUUUUACUUGAUAAUGAUGUGUUUUUACUUUGACACAUUCUUAGACUUGAUUUGCUAAUUUUUCCUAAGCUACUUUUAUCAGGUUUUAAAAGUACCCUAGUGUUGUGGUACAAGGGUUAUGCUAGUUUGAUACAAAAAACUGGGAAACUUUUAGACCUUUUCUGUUUUCAGGAACAGUUUCACUGCAGUGAAAUUUUCUCUUCCUUCAAAGUCUGAAACACUUACCAAUGAAACUACAUGGACCUGGAAGCUUUUUGGAAAACUUUUUGGUUAAAUUUUUUAAAAAAUUCUUAUCAAGCUAUUAAGGUUUUCAUUUAUUGAAUCAACUUCGGAAAAUUGUGACUCAGAAUUACUGCAUUAUCAUCCCUAUUUGAAAAACCAAGGCAUCUAUCUGAGGCUCAAAGAGUAGCCUGUCUGGUCUCACACAACUGAUUCCCAGCAGAACAAAGAUUUGAUCCCAGGUUUGGCUAACUUCAAAUGCUGUACCAUCUACACUGAAUAGCUGCCUUAGUCUUCCUGAUUGUUCUCUCUUUGGCUUGUUCCCUUUGAUCCCAGAGAUAGGAAAUUUUGUUCGUCUCUGAACACAUUGUUGUGGGUAUCCAUGAUUUGCUUGUUUGCUCAAGAUGACCUCUUCCUCUAAAUUUGGAAAUAAAACUUACUGUUCACCUGCAAAUAAAGACCUAGGCCUAUGGAUUAAAACCUCUCCAGUUUUAAAAAUCAAA